UUGAACGCUGGCGGCAGGCCUAACACCUGCAAGUCGCACGGUAACAGGAAGCAGCUUGCUGCUUCGCUGACGAGUGGCGGACGGGUGAGUAAUGUCUGGGAAACUGCCUGAUGGAGGGGGAUAACUACUGGAAACGGUAGCUAAUACCGCAUAACGUCGCAAGACCAAAGAGGGGGACCUUAGGGCCUCUUGCCAUCGGAUGUGCCCAGAUGGGAUUAGCUAGUAGGUGGGGUAACGGCUCACCUAGGCGACGAUCCCUAGCUGGUCUGAGAGGAUGACCAGCCACACUGGAACUGAGACACGGUCCAGACUCCUACGGGAGGCAGCAGUGGGGAAUAUUGCACAAUGGGCGCAAGCCUGAUGCAGCCAUGCCGCGUGUAUGAAGAAGGCCUUCGGGUUGUAAAGUACUUUCAGCGGGGAGGAAGGGAGUAAAGUUAAUACCUUUGCUCAUUGACGUUACCCGCAGAAGAAGCACCGGCUAACUCCGUG
rnacentral:rRNA from 1 species